rnacentral:tRNA from 1 species
GCCCCAAUAGCUCAGUUGGUAGAGCGUUUGGCUGUUAACCAAAAGGUCCGAGGUUCAAGUCCUCGUUGGGGCG